rnacentral:misc_RNA from 1 species
UCCGGAUAUCUCCGGCAGUCCCACUAAAGUGCCAAACUUAAUUGGGGCAACUAGUGGCAAGGGUUGCGCUCGUUGCGUCACUUAAGACAACAUCUCACGACACGAGCUGACGACAGCCAUGCAGCACCUGUGUCUAGGUUCCUUGCGGCACCCCGAUAUCUCUACCAGGUUCCUAGCAUGUCAAGAGCAGGUAAGGUUUUUCGCGUUGCAUCGAAUUAAUCCACAUCAUCCACCGCUUGUGCGAGUCCCCGUCAAUUCCUUUGAGUUUUAAUCUUGCGACCGUACUCCCCAGGCGGUCUACUUCUCGCGUUAGCUUCGCUACAGAACAUUGCUGCCCUACAGCAAGUAGACAUCGUUUAGGGCGUGGACUAC